CAUGGUGAUCAGUUUCCAGUCGUUCUGGAAAUCAACACGCUGUGAAGGAGGAAAUGACCAUCAGCCUUUUUCUGAUUCACUCACGCGGUCUACGAAUGGUGCAACGUACUGUGUGUGCCAGGAGGUUGUUUGGGUCUUUCGCACCAACCCCAUUGGCUGCCUGUGGUGAGGAAAAGAAAGAAAUGAUUGGCCAACUCUAUUGUCCCCAACAUUACAACAAGUCCCCAAAGAGAGCAGAGGGAAGCACAGAUAUGAUUGGAGCAGUUAGCUAACAUGGCCCGCCCACCGUUAAGGAGUCUCCGAGUGCUGCCACCACUUUGAUAUCCCCAGGCUGAAGCUCAUGAACUGCAUGGACAAGAAAGACAACUUCCACGUCAGCCAGCAACGCACACUAACUGCCAGGGGACGUGUUUACCCAACUCUCUGACGCUCUUUACCUGAGUGUCCAGACUUAUGGCAGAUAGUAAGGGAGAGGAAGACGUACGGGGUCAAUGAGAGGACUGGCCUCCCUCCUGUUGGUUGAGGAAUGCUCCUGGUGUGGGGACGGGGAGUUGAGCUGAGUCCUCAGGAAGGGCUGCUCCUGGGUUUGGACAGGAGAGAGGAGUGUGAGAGAGAACCAUGUCUCCAUUACUGUCACCUUGGUUGGCUAACCCUUCAGUAUUUGAUGUCUGAAGUCUGAGAAGGGAAGAAUGAUGAAUUAUGGGGUGAUGGAUUUUGGAUGCUUUAUGAUCUCAGAUGUCUUUCUGAUUUGCAUUUCCACGAGAAUAUGUCUCACCUCAGUGGGGCAGGAUAUACUGUUGAUGUCAUUGUCCUUCACUUCAGUCUGACCCGUCAUUGGCUGAAGCUGGGGGAGAGAUGAUUGUGAUUGGUCAAGGACAGAUCAUCUUACCUUAUGUAAUCAUCAGAUUACACCGAUAAACUUUGUAGACCUUAAGAUAAUAUAAAUCCUUGCCUGGAAGAACCAGAGAGUAUGAGUGAAGAUUAUAAUGGAACUCAUAAAACAACUACUCUCGACAUUGGUUAUCUAAUCUCUGAUAUUUAGAAAUAAUCAUAAAGUCCCUUUUCUUAUCAUUUGCUGAGUCACUUUAACAUUGUGCCACCCAAGGGCCAAAACAGUGACAUCACAUUCUGUCAAGGAAUCUACAAACACUUUCUCUUAGACCAAUUAUGUCUGCUGCAUUUGUUGCUGUUACAAUGUGCUCUGUGAAAAAGUGUUUUCCCAUGUUUGUUGCCCACAAUGUGUUUAUUGGGAGCUUACCAGGUUGUUCCACAGCUGAAGAAUCAACUGGAUUGUGUCAGAUGAAAAACCUGUCAUCUUCAAUGAAAAAUUUGACCUGCAUUUAUCUCAUCAUUGUUUAUAGAGGCUCAUUUCCACAUACUCUGGUUAUACAGCAUCUGUGGCAAUAACCCUGUUAUUAUUGUUGCUAUUAACCUGGUUAUUGUUU